rnacentral:rRNA from 1 species
UACGUAGGGUGCAAGCGUUGUCCGGAAUUAUUGGGCGUAAAGAGCGCGUAGGCGGUCCGGUAAGUCGGUUGUGAAAGUCGGGGGCUCAACCCUCGGAUGCCGAUCGAUACUGUCGGGCUAGAGUUCGGAAGAGGCGAGUGGAAUUCCCGGUGUAGCGGUGAAAUGCGCAGAUAUCGGGAGGAACACCUAUGGCGAAGGCAGCUCGCUGGGACGUUACUGACACUGAGGCGCGAAAGCGUGGGGAGCAAACGGG